UUUUAAAAAAAUUAUUAGUUAAAAAGUAUGGUGUUGUGAAGUGAAAAUAGUGAUAGGAAAGUGUAAUUGUGUCAAGUUGGUGGAUACACAGUGGAGUAAAAGGGUGACAACACUAGUGCAGUGAGAGGAGCAGGUCAUGAUUUCUUUCUCAAUCUUUUUUUUUUUUCUUUUUUCUUUUUAGUAGAAAAUCAAUUAUAGUUUGUUGAUGAUAACAUUUAUAGGAUAAUGAGAAAGUGGAUAUGUGAAGGCUUGUUGAUUGGAACCAAUUAAAGGAAGUCUUGAAGCUAAUUGCAAUACCUGCUUAAAGCUUCAAAAAAUGGGUUCAAUUCCUUGCCCAAAAACAUAUCAGUUAUGGCUAUCAAAGAUAUAAUAUCACCUCCUUAUAGGGAAACAUUUAAUGAUGUGUAUAGACAAAGGGAUGAGUAACCAACAAUACAAAUAUGGGAGACCUUCCCCAGGUAUCCAGAAGCUUUUAGAUAUAUUUAUAUUGUUUUUAAA